CCCCCGUCCCCGUCCCCGUCCGGCUGCCUGUCCGGUCCUCCGGCAGCCGCAGGCUCAGCUCGUGCUCCAGGCGGCCGAACCGGCAGCCUAACCGCUGUCUACCAUCCUGCCCAGGGCGCCGCGGGAGGGGAGGAGCAUUCCCCAAGUCCUGAGAACAGGGCUUCGUGAAGGACGCAAUGUGGGGCAGGAGGAGGGAGAUGCGGUGAAGGGGCGGGUCGAGCCUGGGGCUGGAACGACCGGCUUCGGUACUGGUUCGGCUUCCGACUAUGAAAUGACCUUGGGCCGCUUCCUUCCCUACUGGGGGGCCGGGGUGGUCUUUUGUAAAAUGCGCAGGCAGGGAAGGAUGAGUGCCGUGGGUUUCCCCUGGGCGCCUCGGGGCUGCGUGUUCAACCUGGGCCUCCUCCUGCUGAGCACAUUAUGCCUAAUAAACGCCAGGCGGGCUCCCAGAGCGCGGACAGAAGGCCCAGGAAGGCGGUGGGUGAGGGCCACCUGGGACUGACACAGAUCUGGACAGGAUCCGUCCAUCUUCCCACCCUUACCCCGACCGCAGCUGCAGGGCCAGACCUAUAGGAAUCUGUGCCCCAUCCGCAUCCUGGAGACUCGGCCAAGGGGUCGCGCAAGGCCAAACCAAACUGAGCAGGGGGCGUCGGCGCAUCCCUCCUGAGCUGCCGAGAUACGGACCCCUCCUCUUACCCCAAACCAAAUGGGUGGAGGGGCUCCGGCUGCGGAGGGCCCAGCUGGCGCGUUCCCCUGAGACUGACGCUUCGCCGAUACCCGCGCUCCUGGCUUGGACGACCGAGGGGGGGCGCUGCAGCCGUUUCCUUCUCGAAGCCCCUCUACACGCUCCCACUAGGGCGGCUUCCUCCUUCGGCUACCGGAUGCGGCCGAGCCUAGACAAGCGUGGAUGGCCUCAUCUAACCAAAUGAAGGCAUUAAUAGGAAGACUGACCUCUUCGGGAGAGGGAAUUCUGCUGGCAGGCCACCUUUGGACUCUUCUCUGGCGCUCUUCCCUGGGUCUCUACCCUGCUGGCCUACGCUGAUGCUUUUGAACUUGCCAAGCCUCUACAAUCAUGUUCUGCAGCCGGCCUCCAGUGCAACUGCCCAGUAUUCUCGUUCCUCUCUCCCAUCACUGGCUCGGGUAUGGGGAGGCAGAGGAUGGAAACACAAGUUGGCAUCCUAGUGGGUCAAUGAGAGUGGAGUCAAAGAGCAUGGGACAUGAGGAGAAGCACAAAGGGCAACGGGGUAAGCUGGACGCAAAAGACCACCAGACUGAGCAGCCCAGUCUUCCAGUCCCGAGCGAGCUGGAAGCAAAGGCAGAACUGGCAGUGUGCAGGGAAGUGAGAUGUUUGCUGGCAUUCAGGGCACAGCAGGUCAUCCUUAGAGGUGUUUCCUCAAAUGGCUGCUCAUUUUCUUGCAUGAUGUGAGGCUGCGGCAGCCACAAGAGAGAAGGAUGAGAGCCAUGCUUGCAGGGAGUGUUCUGAUAAGUAGAAGCUGGUUCAAGGGAUGGGUCCCACUCACGCACACAGUAGUAAUAGAACUUCACCCAUGGUUGAAGGACUUGCAGCAGGAAGUCAGAGGCCUAGUGUCAUGUCCCUAAGGAGUGCCAAAGAGACACACUACACCCAGACACUCAAUGGCAAGGCUGGAAAGCAAGAAAAGGAAAUGAAGUAUAAAUAAAAGGAGUCAAAACUGCUCUUACUGCAGGCCCUAUAAUUACUAAUCCAGACUAUUCAGGAUAGUUAACAUCAUAGCUAUUAGAAUAAUCAUGGAGUUUGGGGACACCUGGGUGGCUCAGUCAGUUGGGCCUUUGGCUCAGGUCAUGAUCCUGGAGU